CGUAUGGUUAGUAGCGGCUGCGCCCGCGCCCCCCCGCGGUAGGCCUAUUGCUAAUAAACCAGUGUGCAAAUAGCUACGGUGCGUUUCACUCGUGUCCUCAUAUACAUACCAAUUGGCGGCGAUGGCUGGUACUUUUGGGUUAAUUUCGGUUUUUAAUCAUGAAACACAGGAGUGGAGAACCUACAAGAAUCGGCUGACUCAGUGGUUCAUAGCCAACGAUAUUAAUGACGAGACAGAUAAAGCGGAAGUGAAACGUCGUGCUAUCUUGAUAAGCGCACUCGCCGAAUCUACCUACCGGCUGGCAAGUAAUUUAGCAUUACCGGCUACAUUAGAAGAAAAAGGAUUUUCGGAUGUAGUGAAGAUUUUGGACGCACAUUUCACACCAAAACGCUGCGGGUACGUGGAGCGAUUCCAUUUUUAUUCGGCCACCCAGCAAGCGGGCGAAGGUCACGUGCAAUGGGCUGCGCGUCUGAAGGGCCUCGCCGCGCACUGCGAUUUUAAAAAUAUGGAAGACGCUAUUCUCGAUAAGUUUGUAAUGGGUAUGCUCCCCGGCCGAGAGCGUGAAAAGUUAUUCGCGCAAAAUGUCGGUGAGCUCACAUUGACUAAGGCGAUAGACUUGGCGGAGAGUAUCAGAGUUGCUCGCACCGGUGGCGCUGCCACCGCCCCAGCUGGAGCCCUGGUGGCUACGGAAGCCAGCAGCCUGUUCCAGAUUGAAAAAGCAUCUGCGCGCUCGUCCGCAUCGUCGUCUAACGUCCAGUGUUCGGUGUGUGGUAGAUACAAACAUAGUGCUACAAAGUGUCGUUUUAGAAAUUAUAAGUGCAGAAAGUGCCAAACAAAAGGCCAUUUAAGUAACAUGUGCAAGGCGGUAAAAUAUAUCGAGUCGGAGGAGGUGAACGAAAGUGAUGACGGUGAGUUUUUUCAUAUUCGUUCGGAAGGUGGGGCACCUAUGGUCGAAACUAUAAAGGUAAACAACAUUUCGAUUAAGUUCCAGAUAGACAGUGGGGCGGCAGUCUCGGCUAUCUCAGACGAAGCUUAUAAAUUUUAUUUUAGCGACGUGCCAUUGUUACCCCCAAAGAAAAAGCUAUUCGGCUACACGCGACAGACAUUCGAUAUUACGGGCGUAAUUAAUGUACCGAUAUUCUAUGACGGCCGCGAAAUCUAUUUGGACAUUUAUGUGAUUCCAGACGGUGGACCACCGCUCCUAGGUCGCGAUUUUAUCUCGAAAUUCCACCUAGAAUUAGCACGAAUUUCCCCCGUACCAAUCAAUUAUUGUACCGAUACAGAUAUGGUACAACAAACCCUAUCUGACUAUAAGGAUAUUUUUGUAGACCGCCUGGGCUGCUUUAAUAAAUACAAGAUAAAUUUAAACUUAAAAGAAAACGCACAACCAGUAUUUAUUAAAGCUCGCCCAAUUGCAUUUGCGCUUAAGAGUAAAGUGGAGAACGAAAUUGAUCGAUUAGUGGGCUUAGGUAUUUUGGAACCCGUGGAAUAUUCAGAGUUUGCUUCGCCUAUUGUACCCGUGUUAAAACGUGACGGCUCCGUGCGCAUCUGUGCGGACUACUCGCGCACUAUCAAUAAACAGCUGAUUGUGGAGACCUAUCCGCUCCCAACGGUAGAUGAAUUAUUCGCGAAACUACACGGCGGAGUUCAAUUUUCGAAGUUAGAUAUGUCUAUGGCCUACAAUCAGUUUCCCAUAAAUGAUCCCAAUAACAUAACAUGCAUAAAUACCACCCGCGGAUUAUUUAAGUAUAAAAGAUUAAUUUUUGGGUUAACAAGUUCUCCGGCUAUUUUUCAACGCGCCUUAAAUACGUUGUUAGCAGGAAUGGAUGGCGUAUUAUGCUUUUUGGAUGACGUGUUGAUAACGGGGCGGGACAAGACAGAGCACCUGCAAAGAUUGAAUAAUGUACUUGCGAGGUUCAAGGACGCCGGCUUAACGCUACAAAGAAACAAAUGCGAAUUCUUUAAAGAUGAGAUAUCGUAUUUAGGUCAUGUAAUAAAUAAACAAGGUAUUUCAAAAUCGCAAGAAAAGGUAGCUGCAAUUAGUAAGGCACCGCGACCUGACAAUGUAGCACAAUUACAGUCCUUUUUAGGUCUAGUUAAUUAUUAUCGUAACUUUGUACCUGACGCAUCUAGCAUUUUAAGCCCUCUAUAUGACCUAAUAAGGAAAAAUGUUAAUGGUCGUGGACGCCGAUUCAUCAAAAUGCAUUCGAGACAAUUAAGCGGCAGUUGUCCUCCGAUCAGGUUUUAGCGCAUUUUGACCCAUCGGCUAAAAUAAUUGUAACAGCUGACGCGUCACCAGUCGGCCUGGGAUGUCUGUUAUCUCAGGUAGGUAUUGAUGGAAUUGAACGGCCCGUUUCCUUUGCAUCGCGAGUCUUACGGGAUGCCGAAAAAAACUAUUCCCAAAUUCAACGGGAAGCAACGGGAAUAAUUUUUGCAAUUAAAAGGUUUCAUCAUUAUCUUUAUGGUAGAUCGCAGCCAUUUGUUCUCCGAACAGACCACAAACCGUUACUUUCUAUAUUUGGGCCUCAAAAAGGUAUUCCGGAGGUCACGGCAAAUCGUCUACAGAGGUACGCAAUCUUCUUAUCGGCAUACAAUUAUGUUAUUGAGUACGUACGAAGUGAGAAUAAUAGUGCAGAUUAUCUCUCGCGCGCGCCGCUUACACUUGACAACAGCGCCUCGUCGCCGGGGCGUGACGUCACCACAGCUCAAGAGUUCGAUGACCGCGCGGCGUCUAUAAACUUCGUAGUAGAUGGAUGCUUACCUUUAACAGUUGAAGAUUUGCGUCGCGAAACGUUAAAAGAUAUUCAGCUGCAUAAAGUAUGUGACUUUGUUAGGAAGGGUUGGCCGAAAAAAGUUAGUGAUAACCAAUUAAAACCGUAUCAUUUGUGCAGAAACGAAUUAUCAGUCGAGAACGGCUGCUUAAUGAGAGGGCACAAAAUUGUUAUACCGCUAGCGCUCAGGGAACAAGUUUUGCAGGAAGUUCAUAGUUCACAUCUAGGAAUAGUUAAAUGCAAAUCGGAAAUUCGUUCGAAAUUUUGGUUUCCUGGUGUGGACCAAGCAAUUGAGAGAAUCAUCGGCGCUUGCAACGAAUGUAUUCAGCUACGUCCUUCUCCUCCGCGGGUAACAGUAGUGCCAUGGCCGUAUCCUGAGUACGCGUUUCAAAGGUUGCAUAUCGACUUUCUCGGCCCAAUAAAUAACCACUCAUAUUUCGUUAUAGUUGAUGCUUACAGUAAAUGGGUCGAGUGCUUCGAUAUGAAAUCAAACACAACGACGCAUAGUGUUAUUGAAAAACUCUGCGAAGUUAUAUCUCGAUUCGGGACCCCGCAAUGUAUAGUGAGUGACAAUGGCACGGCGUUUACGUCAGACGAUUUUAAACAAUUCUGUUCGCUAAACAAAAUAACACAUUUAACGAGCGCGCCGUACCACCCCCCUAGCAACGGCCAAGCAGAAUCGUAUGUGAGAGUAAUUAAAAAAGGUAUAAAAUCUGUACUUAUGUCAAAUAUUUCCAAUGCUAAAAUUAACUGUAAAUUAAUGAAGUAUUUAUUCGACUAUAGGAAUUCUAUUCAUUCGACCACUGGUACUUCACCAGCGCAGUUAGUUUUUGGUAAAAAGUUGAAGUCCAGGUUAGACUUAUUAACCAAUGUAAACUCACCGCCGUCUUCGUCCACCAACUUCGCCUCGUCGGUUAAAGAUAAACAGUCCUCACAGGUUAAUUACCACGGUGGCGUUGAAAGAACCGGUUUUAAUAUCGAGGACCAGAUAUUAUAUAAGAAAUACGUUAAUAAAAACAAAUUCUACUGGAUAAGAGGAAAAAUAACGAAAAAACUAGGACAACGCUUGUAUUUAAUA